rnacentral:rRNA from 1 species
UACAGAGGGGACAAGCGUUGUUCGGAAUUACUGGGCGUAAAGGGCGCGUAGGCGGCCUGCUAAGUCGAACGUGAAAUCCCCGAGCUCAACUCGGGAACUGCGUCCGAUACUGGUUGGCUUGAAUCCGGGAGAGGGAUGCGGAAUUCCAGGUGUAGCGGUGAAAUGCGUAGAUAUCUGGAGGAACACCGGUGGCGAAGGCGGCAUCCUGGACCGGCAUUGACGCUGAACAGCGAAAGCUAGGGGAGCAAACGGG